rnacentral:rRNA from 1 species
AUUGAACGCUGGCGGCAGGCUUAACACAUGCAAGUCGAGCGGGGGAAGGUAGCUUGCUACCGGACCUAGCGGCGGACGGGUGAGUAAUGCUUAGGAAUCUGCCUAUUAGUGUGGGACGACAUCUCGAAAGGGAUGCUAAUACCGCAUACGUCCUACGGGAGAAAGCAGGGGAUCUUCGGACCUUGCGCUAAUAGAUGAGCCUAAGUCGGAUUAGCUAGUUGGUGGGGUAAAGGCCUACCAAGGCGACGAUCUGUAGCGGGUCUGAGAGGAUGAUCCGCCACACUGGGACUGAGACACGGCCCAGACUCCUACGGGAGGUAGCAGUGGGGAAUAUUGGACAAUGGGGGGAACCCUGAUCCAGCCAUGCCGCGUGUGUGAAGAAGGCCUUAUGGUUGUAAAGCACUUUAAGCGAGGAGGAGGCUACUUUAGUUAAUACCUAGAGAUAGUGGACGUUACUCGCAGAAUAAGCACCGGCUAACUCUGUGCCAGCCGCCGCGGUAA